rnacentral:rRNA from 1 species
GACGAACGCUGGCGGCGUGCUUAACACAUGCAAGUCGAACGGAAAGGCCCUGCUUUUGUGGGGUGCUCGGGUGGCGAACGGGUGAGUAACACGUGAGUAACCUGCCCUUGACUUUGGGAUAACUUCAGGAAACUGGGGCUAAUACCGGAUAGGAGCUCCUGCUGCAUGGUGGGGGUUGGAAAGUUUCGGCGGUUGGGGAUGGACUCGCGGCUUAUCAGCUUGUUGGUGGGGUAGUGGCUUACCAAGGCUUUGACGGGUAGCCGGCCUGAGAGGGUGACCGGCCACAUUGGGACUGAGAUACGGCCCAGACUCCUACGGGAGGCAGCAGUGGGGAAUAUUGCACAAUGGGCGGAAGCCUGAUGCAGCAACGCCGCGUGCGGGAUGACGGCCCUCGGGUUGUAAACCGCUUUCGCCUGUGACGAAGCGUGAGUGACGGUAAUGGGUAAAGAAGCACCGGCUAACUACGUG